rnacentral:misc_RNA from 1 species
AAGUAAGGAAAUCACUGAUGGUACCGUCAAGAGAGCUCGUUUAUUGACUGCUUGUGGGAAGAAGGCGUAUACAUUGUUUCGCAGCUUAGUAUCACCGGCUGCACUGCAUGAUAAAUCGUUUGAAGAGCUGUUAGAAGUGAUGAGAGCUCACAAAGACCCCAAGCCAUCGAAAAUAUUGAGCAGAUUUCGAUUUAGCCAGUGCCAUCGUGAUCCGUCUCAACCUGUUGCAGACUUUAUCGCCGAGCUCCGCAAGGCAGCAGAGCACUGCGAGUUUGGAGGCACACUGGAGGAUCGGCUGAUGGAGCAGCUGGUGUGCGGCAUCGCUGACGAGCGCAUCCAGAGGCACCUCUUGGCUGAGCCCCAGCUGGACUUCUCCAGAGCUCAGCAAGUCAGCCUGUCGCUCGAGAUGUCGAGUAAGGACGCUCAGGUCAUCGCAGGUCAGUCCGGGGGCACGGGCCACGCCACUGUCCAUGCUGCUGCAGCGCAGGCGAACACAGAGCCUUGCUGGCGUUGCAAUCGUGCGAAUCACAGUCCAGAUAUAUGCAGAUUCCGUAACUUCAAGUGCCGAAACUGUGGCCAGUUCGGCCACAUUCAGAGAGCGUGCAGGCGCCGCCCACGGAAGUCGGCCACUUCUGGGAGGCGCCGUCAGUCGGCCAACAAUGUCACCGGCUCCGGCGAUGAAGAGGACUGGGAGAGCUGGGUGGAAGCCGAAGAAGCAGUCGGCCAGAUCCGUCGAUCCACUGACACCGGCACUGCUGACGUCAGACAGGUGGGUGGCUCACUUCCGUUCACGUGUGAUGUUAAACUGCAACAGACUGAUGUGACAAUGGAGAUCGACACAGGCUCUAGGUACACUCUCAUUGGAGAGAAUACCUUCAGCAUGUUGAACUGCAAGCCUAGGCUGAAAGAGUGUAGGGUUCAGCUACGAGCAUAUACACAUCAGCCCAUUCCUGUGCUCGGGGAAUUUUGUACGUCUGUCGAGCACAAUGGUAUGACAUACCCUGGUAUGAAGGUGAUCGUGGUGAAAGGCAGCAGAUCCAGUCUCUUGGGCAGAGACUGGUUGGAGGCUAUCCGAAUCAACUGGUGCGAGGUCAAGGCGGUCUUCAACUCGGCCAUCGAUCAGCUGAAGGGAAAGUACCGUCAAGUGUUCGAGCCGGGUCUCUGGGAGUUAAAAGGGGUCGAGGUGAAGCUAGAGGUGGACCGUUCUGUGCCCCCCAGAUUUUUCAGACCCAGAUCCCUGCCGUACGUCUACAGGGAAAAGGUGGAAGAGCAGAUCGACAAGGACGUCAAGGCGGGCAUCCUGGUGCCGGUGCAGCACAGCCAGUGGGCUGCACCACUGGUUCCAGUGCUGAAAAAGUCUGGUGAGAUCAGGGUAUGUGCCAACUUCAAACUCACUGCCAACCGUGCCGUCAAACUGGAUCAGUAUCCCUUGCCGCUCGUUGAGGAUCUUUUUGCUCAGUUAGCGGGAGGAGUGAUUUUCUCGAAGAUUGAUCUGGCACAAGCUUACAACCAGAUUCCCAUUCAUAAAGAUUCGAUGGAUGUUUUGACGAUAAGUACGGCUAAAGGGCCCAUGUCCUACACUCGCUUACCAUUUGGAAUAUCAGCUGGGCCAGGGAUAUUCCAACGAGAGAUUGAAAAGGUGUUGAGCGGCAUGCCAUCUGUUGCCGUGUACCUCGAUGACAUUUUGGUGAGCAGUAGGUCCACUGAAGAGCACCUGAAGACGCUGGACGAGGUCCUCCGCCGCUUGCAAGAAGCUGGACUGAAGGUACGUGCAUCCAAGUGUCAGUUCAUGAUGCAAAACGUGGAGUAUUUGGGGCAUCUGAUCGACAGGAAUGGCAUCAGACCGACGCCAGCCAAAGUGAGAGCUAUCAGGGAUGCUCCAGUUCCUAAAAGUGUCAAGGAGCUGCUAAGUUUUCUCGGAAUGGUGACCUACUACGCAAAGUAUCUGCCCUCCCGUGCUGACAAGUUGGCCCCGUUGUACGAGCUCCUCCGGAAAGAUUCCAGAUGGCGCUGGGGUACCGAGCAGGAGAAGAGCUUCCAGUGGGCGCGGAACGCCCUGACGUCGGACUCAUUUCUGGCGCACUACAGGAGUGGCCAGCAGCUCGUCUUGGUCUGUGACGCCUCUCCCGUCGGCAUCGGCGCGGUGCUGGCGCAUCGAGAGGCUGACGGAUCAGAGAGGCCUUUGGGGUAUGUAUCGCGUACUCUGACAGAGUCUGAGCGCAGAUAUGCACAGAUUGACAGAGAAGCUCUAGCCAUUGUGUUCGGCGUGUGCAAAUUUCACAACUAUCUGCUCGGGAACCGUUUUAAGCUGGUAACAGAUCACAAGCCGCUGUUACGACUGUUCGGAGAACAUCAGGACUUACCGACCAUGACCUCUGCUAGGAUCAGACGGUGGGCGCUGAAGCUGUCGACAUACAGUUACAGCGUUGAGCACAGACCGACUGAUCGCAUGGGAAAUGCCGACGCUCUGUCCCGUCUUCCGUUACCUUUAGGCAAAUCAGGUGAACCGGAAGAGCUGGUCUUGAUGGUGGACAGUCGCGUAAUCGACGCAAAAAAGAUAGCCCGACUCACAGCUACGGAUCGGACGUUGAGCAGAGUGCUGCAGAGUGUGCAGUAUGGUGAUUGGUGUGAAGGUGACGAUGUGCCAAAAUCAUUUACCGACAGGAAACUGGAGCUGUCAGUCACCGCAGGCGUCCUCAUGUGGGGACACCGUGUCAUCAUUCCAGAGAGGGCACAAGGCGAGGUACUGGCCGAGCUACAUGCUGCCCACCCCGGGAUGAGGCGCAUGAAGGCGCUGGCACGAGGCUACGUCUGGUGGCCGGGCAUCGAUGCCGCCAUCGAGGAAGUCGUGCGGAGCUGCCAGCCAUGCCAGGAGAGCCGCCCAGCACCGGACCGCGCACCGCUGAGUAUGUGGCCCUGGCCGGACCGCCCGUGGUCCAGGAUUCACAUUGAUUACGCUGAGCCGAGCUGAUGCUUGGCAGGAGGCUGCGGAGUAAGCUGGACCUUCUACGGCCGAGCAUCCGGGCGACGGUGGUCAAAGGUCAAGUGAGCCAAAAACAAAACCAUGACGGAUAUCGUCAGCUACCUGACCUGAGCCGGAGCGGAGAGGUGACAUCUGGCGGCGGCGCUGAGGGAGCUCACUCUGGCUGGCUACCGGCUGCCGCCGACGCUGUUCAACGGCCGCCCGCCGCGGCGCUCGUUCGGCCGCCGGCACCUGGUGCUGCCGUUGGGUCGUCUGCCGAGCCGCCUGCUGGGUCGUUUGGCGAGCUGGCUGGUGUUGCUGCUGGGUCGUCUGCUGAGCCGACUCAGCGCGAGGUCUCGGGCGCUGCCGUUCCGUCAUCGCCGCUAUCUGGCCGAGUGCCGCUGUCGCAAUCUCAGCGGACGGCGCCGGCGCCAUUGUCGCGGCCCGAUGACGCGUCUGUUUCUACGGGCAACCGCAGUGAGCUCGCGCGUCGCUAUCCGGUUCGUGUGCGGAACAAACCAAACUUUUACGUGGGAAAGUAAUGUACGGUAAUUGGGCGUGGUCCAUGCGACGACUGCGCGUGCGCGGGGCCGCGCGGCGGCUGCGCGUGCGCAGGGCGCGGUGUGCGUGCGCCUGUCUGUUAGACUGUACCGCUGUGUCAUCGUCUGCGCGGGUCAGCCGGCCCGCGCGGCAUUCUGAAAUAGAGUGGCAAACUGAACAGCUGUGUU